GUCAGCUUUUGCGACAGCAUGUGCUACGGCUAUGUUACCGUCGCAUCUCGGAGAGUUUUUGCGACGGAUGUAACCUUACCGUCGCAUAAUUAUACAUCUAUUGCGACGGUAUAGUCACGCCGUCGCUUGUAUAAUUAAAAUAAAUAAAUAAAAAAACAAGACUAUUCAAUUAAUCCUUCAUUCAGAUUAGAUCUAGACCAAAACUGCUUUUCUUUCAUGCCACUUCCUCCUCUCUCUCUCGCGCUUUAUUCACCGAGCUCAAAACCCUAACAUAGAGAUCCCCGGCCUCCAUUGAAGAGAGAGAUUUGGUUAGAAGCGGAGGAGAUCGAGCUUCAUUGAUGACAUGGUCGAGGAGGACGAGGAGGAGGAAGAGGAGGAGGACGAUGAUGAUGAAUACGGCCCCUAUCGUGGCGGCAGCGGCGGGAGUCAUAAGCGGGGCAAGAAGAGGCCUUCUGGUGGAUUUUCUUGAUUUCGCAGCUGUGGUCGAUUCAGAUGAGGAGGAUGAGGAGGAAGAUACUAUACAUUAUCAAUAAGCCCCUUUCCUUUUUCUCCUCCUUUGUAAAUUUAACCCCAAAUUGCUUUUAACCAAAAAAAAAAAUUCACCUCCAUGAAAAUCCCCAAAUCCAAUUUUGAUCUUUUUGAUCUGUUUUGGUGUUGUUGUAGGUACCAAUAUUCAGAUGAACGAAGAGGUUGCGAUUAAGCUGACUAGAAAAAACUUUGCUUUGAGUAUGACACCGAACCAUAUUACCAAGCUCUAGAUAAAGUCAAGAUGCAAUCCAUCCUGCUGAUGUUGGACUUAAAGAGGAAAAUCCAGAUGAUGAUCGAGGGCUUGGUUUUUUCAGAGACAAUCUGAAUAGAGUUUCUCGACGGACUCAACCAAUAACAUACUUCAAUUUAUAUGAAGGUGAUAGUUUUACGAUGUGUAUAUUCUGUUUUCCUACUUCCUCAGUCAUUCCACUUCAUGAUCACCCUGGCAUGACUGUUUUUAGCAAAGUUCUGUAUGGUUCUUUGCAUGUGAGAGCUUACAAUUGGGUGGAGCCUUCCCACGAAAGCAAGGGAUCAAAUUACUUUCCAGGAGAUGAGAUGACUCGAAUUUUCUGGAAAUCAAUCAAGGAUAAGCUUAUUCUCCCCUUUUUGGAUUUGGACAUUUAAGUACUUUGACCUUGGUCUUCCUCACCAUGAUACCACUGAUGAUAAAGUUACCGUUGAAAGUGCAGAGGCUACUCUUAAGAGGAUUAGAAUGGGGCUGCUCCAGCUAGAAGUGUUCUGGUGUGGAUCCUAAUAUAAAUUUGAAAGUAUGCUUAGGCAGCAGCUGUGGUUGAUAUUCUGGCCAUCUUUUAGAAGUGAAGGUGCUGCAUUGCUGUUGUUUUGGCUUACUCUUGAUUGCUUCUUGGUUAUAGAUGAUGGGUUUUAUUUUGUAAUUUGAUAUUUUUCUGUUCAUAAUAAUUGUUAUAGAUGGUACUAGCUUUGGUGUGCAAUUCACACCAUUUUUUUUUUAAAAAUGAAAUAUUCUUUUGCGACGGCAAAGUAUCCGUUGCAACCAAUUCA